rnacentral:rRNA from 1 species
GAGUUUGAUUAUGGCUCAGGACGAACGCUGGCGGCGCGCUUAACACAUGCAAGUCGUGCGAUACCUCGAGCAAGUCUUACGACAAGCUCAAGGUGUAGCGGCGGACGGGUGAGUAACACGUGAGUAGCUGUCCUAAGGAGGGGGAUAACGCCUGGAAACGGGUGCUAAAACCCCAUAUGCCUCGCAAGAGGUGAAAGUGUAGCUUGCUACAGCCUUAGGGUGUGCUCGCGGCCUAUCAGCUAGUUGGUGAGGUAACGGCUCACCAAGGCUAAGACGGGUAGCCGGCCUGAGAGGGUGUACGGCCACACUGGAGUUGAGAUACGGUCCAGACUCCUACGGGAGGCAGCAGUGGGGAAUCUUGGGCAAUGGGGGAAACCCUGACCCAGCGACGCCGCGUGGAGGAAGGAGCCCUUCGGGGUGUAAACUCCUGUUGUAAGGGACGAAGAAAGUGACGGUACCCUACGAGGAAGCCCCGGCUAACUACGUGCCAGCAGCCGCGGUAAGACGUAGGGGGCGAGCGUUGUCCGGAAUUACUGGGCGUAAAGGGCACGCAGGCGGUGCGCCAAGUCGAGGGUGUAAAGUUACGGCUCAACCGUGACAUUGCAAUCGAUACUGGCGCACUGGAGUGCGGGAGAGGGAAGUGGAAUUCCCGGUGUAGCGGUGAAAUGCGUAGAUAUCGGGAGGAACGCCAGUGGCGAAGGCGGCUUCCUGGCCCGCGACUGACGCUCAUGUGCGAAAGCCAGGGGAGCGAACCGGAUUAGAUACCCUGGUAGUC